AUAUAUCUGCCUCACUCUCAGUGAAAUCAGUAGUACUGCUAGGUUUUACACAGUAAUAAUAUAUAUCUGCCUCACUCUCAGAGGAAUCAGUAGUACUGCUAGGUUUUACACAGUAAUAAUAUAUAUCUGCCUCACUCUCAGAGAAAUCAGUAGUACUGCUAGGUUUUACACAGUAAUAAUAUAUAUCUGCCUCACUCUCAGAGAAAUCAGUAGUACUGCUAGGUUUUACACAGUAAUAAUAUAUAUCUGCCUCACUCUCAGUGAAAUCAGUAGUACUGCUAGGUUUUACACAGUAAUAAUAUAUAUCUGCCUCACUCUCAGAGGAAUCAGUAGUACUGCUAGGUUUAAUACAGUAAUAAUAUAUAUCUGCCUCACUCUCAGAGGAAUCAGUAGUACUGCUAGGUUUUACACAGUAAUAAUAUAUAUCUGCCUCACUCUCAGAGGAAUCAGUAGUACUGCUAGGUUUUAUACAGUAAUAAUAUAUAUCUGCCUCACUCUCAGAGGAAUCAGUAGUACUGCUAGGUUUUACACAGUAAUAAUAUAUAUCUGCCUCACUCUCAGAGAAAU
ensembl:lncRNA